GCGAAUGACUUCACAUUGAAACGAAUUGGAAAUGUAUCCAUUGCGAUCCAGACACUUAAUUGGCACCCGAAAAGUAUAGUUGCAUUGCAUCAAUUAUCGUGUCCAGUGUCUUGUUACAAGAUGGCAAUCGGCAACGCUCGAUGCCAUCGGAACCGGUGGGCAGGCGCUGCUAAUGAAGAUUGCGACUGAGCAUCGUAAUUGCGUUGAGCUAGCAAUGCGGCCGCAUCGUUACUGCAAACAAUGUCUAGGGCAGGCCGGGUCAACUCUCGAACAAAGUUUGGUUAUACCUACGGGGGCUAGACCUGUGGUGUCAUCAUCCAUACGGUUCUACCGUCUGGUAGUUGUAGCAAUAUUAUUAUCGUUAGUAGCUCACGCCUGACAUAAUAUUUUGAUAAAUCUAAUACAUUUUUAGAUUUAAAUAUGACUUUAAUAACUGAAUAAAUACUUUUCUUCUACAAAAAUAUAGAGAGACACUCUCGUUGAAUAUUGUUUUAGUAACGCAUAUGUAAGAUUUUCUAAACGAAGUGUGGCAACCCCAAUUACUUAAUAAAAAAUAAAAAUGUUAUAAAAUGAAAAUGGCGUCAUUUCACCAAAUAUUUUAAAACACAAAUUCACGAACAAUAAAAUAAAUGUUUGCCACGGCUUGUUAAUAUUUAUGAAGAUCUCUUCAUGGAUUGGAUUGAAGCAACCUGCUGUGUAAUAUCCUUGCCAUUCUUGAUGUUGAGAAGAUCUAUAAGUCUUUUACGUUUCAUCUGAGUGUUGUGGUUUUUCAUUAUGUUUUAAGACUUUGUUAGUUCAAGUGUCUCUAUAACUAUGAAGAAGAACAAAAGAAAAUGCUUUGAGUGUGUUUCUUCGCCUGCCGAUGAUCCAGAGAAGACCCUACAGAGAUUACCGAAAUUUGAUUCUACAAAUUUAGUCUCCGGUAGCUUAAUCUGGAGCAACAUAAGGUUAAUUAUGAAAUGGUAAUGAAAAUAAACAUCUGAGAAAAGCAAAUUCCAUGAACUAAUUUGAAAGUAUCUGUUACCAGAAGUAAAUUUUUUACUAUACCACUGUUCAAUAUUAAACCACAGGUAUAUGUACUAAAGGCAGUAAUGUCCAGAUAAUCAAUGAUUAGACUAUUGGACUUUUAGAAUAAAUUUUACAUUGAACUAUGAAUGGUUUGUCAUCUACAUUUUUAAAAAAGACGAGAUGUUUUGCCUGUAAGAAGAAGAGAGAGAGAGAAUAAGAACAAUCCUGCUUCUUCACAUGAAUUUUACCCGCAUGACGACGGUUUUUAAUAUAAAAAAUAUUUACACAAUGUCUCAAAAAGCAAUCAAAGCUUUGAAAAAUAAACAAUGUUCGCAGAAGUUCAGUACCAACAAACUCACAAAAAAUGAGCCCAAAUUUAGCAUUACUUGCAAGCCAGACUAAGAAAUUUCAAGAAGAUAAUUUAAAAGAAGACAAUAGAAUAAAAUAAUAUUAACACACAAUGCUUAGCAAAUAUAGCAUUAACAGAUGGAAACCAGGCAAUAGGUGUAGCAAAAUAGAAGAUGAAGGUCUAGCUGUGCCAGUGCUGAGCCACACAGUUGCUACUGGCAUGUUUGCAAAAUAGCACAAGGUGUAGCAAAAUAGAAGAUGAAGGUCUAGCUGUGCCAGUCAGUGCUGAGCCACACAGUUGCUGCUGGCAUGUUUGCAAAAUAGCACAAGGUGUAGCAAAAUAGAAGAUGAAGGUCUAGCUGUGCCAGUGCUGAGCCACACAGUUGCUACUGGCAUGUUUGCAAAAUAGCACAAGGUGUAGCAAAAUAGAAGAUGAAGGUCUAGCUGUGCCAGUGCUGAGCCACGCAGUUGCUACUGGCAUGUUUGCAAAAUAGCACAAGGUGUAGCAAAAUAGAAGAUGAAGGUCUAGCUGUGCCAGUGCUGAGCCACACAGUUGCUACUGGCAUGUUUGCAAAAUAGCACAAGGUGCUGUAAAAUGAAGAUAUAUUGUUAAAUAUCAUGAGAUAGAAAUAAAAGAUGAAGAUCUAGCUGUACCCAUCCCGAGCCACACUACUGCAGCCACGUUGCUGCUGGCAAUUUUGCAAAAUAGCACAAGGUCACAACAAUUGAUGUAACAAAUAUAAUCAAUGGACCAGGCACCUGCACCAUGAUUCUUUGGAAUACUAAAAUUCGUCUCUUUAUGUCUGUACAUAAUUCUCAUAAUGAAAAAUGUCACGUUUUUAUGAAAGAAAUAAUGGAAUCAAAUAAUAAAUAAAACAAGCAUAUGCUGGAAGUCCUCAGAAACAGCUCCGACUUUGAUGAUUUUUUUUAAAGUCAUGUUUUUUGUUAUUUAAAAUCAGAAAUGUUUUGGUGGACGAAAUUAUUUAAAUUGUUAAAAAAUAUCUAUGCUAUUUGUACAUAUAUAUUUUUUUUUUUUAAAUACAACCGACUUCAAAAAUACAAACUUAUGCAGAAAACUAACAAACGAAAGAAAAUAUUAUAAUAUUUUAUAUCUAUUGAUCACUUUGAAGGCGGUGCCAAUGGUCCAAUUAAUGGGCCGACAAUUAGUUAUCUAUUGUUUACUAGCUAUAGGGUUCGAAUUGCUUUUUCAUAUGUUUAAAAGACUAUCUUCGGAAUGAACCCUUUAUAAUAAAAAAGUAUUAUCAAAAUCGGACCGGUCCGACCUAUUUAACCAUUUAUAUAUUCAUUAUAUUUAACCAUUAAUUUUAGUAUACAACCGAUCGGUUGUAUACUAAACUUAAUGGUUAAACAAUCAAUCAUCCCCUGUUUUCGUAAUGUAAAACCAAGCAUAACUGUUAACAUGAGUAGUCCGAUUUUGAUAAUUCUUGAUUAUUUUAGUUUAAAACCAAGGAUGUCUUCGAAUUCCGAUUUGAAUAACUUUGUUUUAAAUAGAAAGGGUAUAUUCCGACAAUGGUCCCAAAUCAUUAUAAAUUUUAAAAAAACGAAGAUGACUGGUUAUUUUCCCAUUAAUUGUAUUGUAAAACUAUGCGUAACUUAUUACGAAGUGGUCCGAUUUCGUAAAUUCUUUAUAGAUUGUAAAGCUCCCAUAUAAAUUUUAAAAAACAAUUCCAAUCCUAAAUGUGCGAUGAUUGAUUGUUUUCUCAUUCAUUUUAAUGUAAAACCAAGCAUAACUUUUUAUUGGGUGGUUCGAUUUUGAUUAUUCUUUUUUUGAUAGAAAGGGUAUAUUCCUAAAAGUCUCAUAAAAUGUUGGAAAACAAUUUCAAACCUAAUAGUAGGAAAAUAGAAGAUGAUUAAUUGUUUUCCCAUUAAUUGUAAUUAAACUAUGCGUAACUUUUUACUGAGUGGGCCGAUUUUGAAAAUUCUUUACUUUUUGUAAAGGGUUUAUUUCGAAGUAGGUCCCAUAUAAAUUUCGGAAAACAAUUCGAAUCCUUAAGGUGGAAAAAACGGUACGAUUGAUUGCCUACCCAUUAAUUGUACAAUUGGCACCGGCUUCAAAGUAAUCAAUAGAUAGAAAAUAUUAUAAUGUUUUCUUCAGCUUAUUAGUUUACUGCAUAACUUUGUGUUUUUGAAGUCGGUAGUGUUUAUUUUUUAAUUAUUUAUUAUAUAAAUAGCAUAACUAUUGUUAAAUAGUAUAAAUCGUUCCCUCCUCACUCCAAAAGGUUUCUGAUUUCAAAUAAUAUGAAGAAACAAACUGAACAAAAAAAAUCAUCAAAAUCAGAGCUGUUUCUGAGGAGGUAGAAGGUAAAUGCUCUAUUGAUUCGCCUAAAAGUAAUAUUAUGUUAUCGCAUUAGGUUGUAAAGUUUGGCUAAUGAAAGUAGAGACUGAAAUUGCCCGCCAAAUUUAAAAAUCACAUGCGUUUUCAUAAUUUAUUUAAAUUAGUUUUUCUUUGUGAAUACAUUAUUACCUAUACUAUAAGUGUUAAACUCAGUUAUUCCAAUAUUUGCACUAUAAUUUUGAGAAUUUACUCCAAUUUUUUAAAAUUUGGCGGGUGAUUUCAGUUUCUACUUUCAUUAUAGCCAAAUUCUAAUAAUUUUAUUGUUUAUGAAAUUUAUACUAAUUAGAAAGAGGAAGAAUUUGAUUAUUUGUUUGUUCGCAUUGAAUAGGCUCUGAAACUACUUUGCUGAUUUAAAAAUUUCUUACAGCAUUAUAAUCAUGGAUUAGGCCAUAAUUGUUAUCUCUGUAUUCCCUCGGGAACGAGAACUACGCUGAUGAAACUGCGUGACGUUUGCAUAGUUUAUCAUAUGUACAAAUAUCCCGACAAUCUAUAUUUUUAUGUAUGAAUUGGUUAAGUUAUAAUUGACUUGAUUUUCCCAAAUAUCUCAGUGAAGUCAAAUACCCAAUUGAUGCAUAGAUAUAUUUUUAUUUUGGUUUUCAUUUUACUUUAAAGAUAAAAUUUAGUUUUAGAAGCAAAAUGAAUAUACGUAGAUUAUAUUUAAGGUGCUGAUGUUUACUUAGUAAUUGAUUAAGUGCAUAACAUAUUUAUUUGAUAAUAAAGACAUUUCAACUUGAAACUGUUAUUCUUUCUAUUGUUUAAUUUAUUAUAUACAAUUACUUGUUACUAAAAUAUUGUGCUAUUAUAUUGUUUUUAAUAUUUUCACAGUUCAGCUUUUGGGGACGGAGUGGUUUUAAAAUAAAUAUUUUUAAAAAUCUGUU